ensembl:lncRNA
GGGACGGGGGCGGGGCCGACGGGCCUGGGGGCGGGGUCCGGGGCGGGGGAGGUGUCAGUCUCGCGCUGGCUGCCGCCACCGCCGCUGCCGCCGCCGCCGCGGCUCCUCCUCGCUUGCUCACUCACAUGCUGGCGGUGCCAGUGGCCCCGGUGGCUGCCAGCCCGCCAGUCCGCCCGGCCUCCCGCCCGCUGCCCGUCCCCAGCCUCGGGCAUGCAGACAGCCUGCUGUUUCCGCGCCCAGGUGUUAAUGAAAAAAUGCACACAAUCCUGACAGAUGGGACUGGUUCAUGAAGGAGGGGACGGCCAGCUCAGUGUUUCAGAGACCACAGGACCAGCUUCCCAUCCAGAGCAAAGAUUGGAAACCAGUUCCAGGGAGAUUUCUAUGGUACAUAACAGAAAGUGUAUUGGCCUUAGGUCCAGGACUAUCGGCUUCAAAUCAACACUUCUCAGUGUUGGAAUGAUGGGCAAGUCAUUUAAACUCUUCUGCAUCAUCCCCUUCCCAACCCCCCCCCAAUUCCUUUAUUUUUGUAAUGAGGAUAAUCAUACUUGCCACACCUACUUUGCAGGGUUGUCAUGAGGAAGGUGCUUUGUAAAUACUAUCUGGAGAACUUUUUAGAACAAUUAUCUAAAGCAGGGGUGGGAAACCUGGGGCCUUGAGGCCACGUGUGGCCUUCUAGAUACUUAAGUGCAGCCUUUUGACUGAAUCCAAAUUUUAUAGAACAAAUCCUUUUAGUAAAAGGAUUAGAUUCUAAAGCAAUGCUUGUCUACCAGGCUCUGGGUAGCUAUGGUUUUUCCAUGCCCUCUUUCUGAUAUUGAGAGAGUGUCACUAAACAAAUAUUUGUUGGAGACUCCCUUAUAAGAGAAAAUUUAAUACAGAAAAUUGAAAGUCCUACAUUUGGGUAAAAAAAAAAUUCAUCAGUAUAGCAUGGGGAAGAAAGGGCUGGACAUUCUGGGUGAAGAAGAUCAGGGGAUUUUAGUGGAAUGUAAGCUCAAUAUGAAAUAUGAAAGCUUUUGUUUCUUGUUUUCAUUGAAGAUUGCCUUGGUUUAUCCACAGACCAGUCUCUAAAGGUCUUAUAGAGAAAAAGAAGCAGGGACAGAUAGCUCAAUAAGUAGAUCAAUCAACAGAUAGAUUCUCCUGUUAUCUUAGUUGCCUUAUUUUGAUAAAAAUGCCAUCCAUGAUUUUCCACUCAUGGUAGAUGAUUCCUCUCAUUGGAAGUCUUCAGACAAGCUGGGUGACAACUUUUGGGUAUGUUGUAGAGAAGGGGUGUCAAACACAAAUAGAAUCAGGGGCUACUGGUGUACAUAUGUUCACUUAGAAAACCACAUAUUAACAUUUUCUGUAUUUUGCUGUAUUUUUAUUUAUUUCAUUAAAUAUCUGCCGAUUACAUUUUAAUCUAGUUUGGGCCUCACCAUGCAUUUGAUACCCCUGUUGUAGAGGAGGGGAUUUCGGCUCAGGUGCAAGUUAUACAAGAGGUGUUGUGAUGGAGGGGAAAGAGCACUGAAUUUGGAAUCUCUGUUUUUGGGGAGGCUGAGGCGGGUGGAUUGCUUGAGUUCAGGAGUUCUGAGCUGCCAUGGGC